rnacentral:lncRNA from 1 species
GAUUACCCCCAAAAAACCCAGCCGCCUGGCUGUUGGGUUUUAGAGGUUAGGAAUUGGGAAUACUAAAAAGACAUUUAGCUAAAACUAAUACCAAUAAAACAUAGUUAAUGACCAAAUUACCCCCAAAAAACCCAGCCGCCUGGCUGUUGGGUUUUAGAGGUUAGGAAUUGGGAAUACUAAAAAGACAUUUAGCUAAAACUAAUACCAAUAAAACAUAGUUAAUGACCAUUGAGAACUCUAAAUGUUCAAUUAGUGGAGAUUAAAUGGUCUGCCUAAUAAAAGCAAAUAAAUAAUAAAAAAUAAAAAAAGGAAAGGAAAAGGUGAAGACAACGAAAAUCCAGUUCUCAAACCUCACGC